UACGUUGGGUGCGAGCGUUGUCCGGAAUUAUUGGGCGUAAAGAGCUCGUAGGCGGUUUGUUGCGUCUGCCGUGAAAACCUGGGGCUUAACUCCGGGCUUGCGGUGGAUACGGGCAGACUUGAGUUCGGUAGGGGAGUCUGGAAUUCCUGGUGUAGCGGUGAAAUGCGCAGAUAUCAGGAGGAACACCGGUGGCGAAGGCGGGACUCUGGGCCGAUACUGACGCUGAGGAGCGAAAGCGUGGGGAGCGAACAGG
rnacentral:rRNA from 1 species